UAUCCGGAUUCAUUGGGUUUAAAGGUUGCGUAGGCGGAUUAGAUAGUCAAAGGUGAAGCCUGCAGCUAAACUGUAGAAGUGCCUUUGAUACUGCUAAUCUUGAGUACAGUUGAGGCGAGUGGAAUGUGUAGUGUAACGGUGAAAUGCAUAGAUACUACACAGAACACCAAUUGCGAAGGCAGCUCGCUAAGCUGUUACUGACGCUCAGGCACGAAAGCGUGGGGAGCGAACAGGAUUAGAUACCCUGGUAGUCCACGCUGUAAACUAUGAUCACUAGCUGUUGGCGGUAAAUUGUCAGUGGCUCAGCGAAAGCGUUAAGUGAUCCACCUGGGGAGUACGAUCGCAAGGUUGAAACUCAAAGGAAUUGACGGGGGCCCGCACAAGCGGUGGAACAUGUGGUUUAAUUCGAUGAUACGCGAGGAACCUUACCUGGGCUUAAAUGUAGCGCGACGUCUCGAGAAAUCGGGAUUCCCUUCGGGGCGAACUACAAGGUGCUGCAUGGUUGUCGUCAGCUCGUGCCGUGAGGUAUCGGGUUAAGUCCCAUAACGAGCGCAACCCUUAUUGUUAGUUGCCAGCGGAUAAUGCCGGGGACUCUAACAAAACUGCCCGUGUAAACGGGAGGAAGGUGGGGAUGACGUCAAAUCAGCACGGCCCUUACGUCCAGGGCUACACACGUGUUACAAUGGCUGGAACAAAGGGCAGCUACCACGCAAGUGGAUGCUAAUCUCUAAAUCCAGUCCCAGUUCGGAUCGAAGUCUGCAAUUCGACUUCGUGAAGAUGGAAUCGCUAGUAAUCGCGCAUCAGCAAUGGCGCGGUGAAUAUGUUCCCGGGCCUUGUACACACUGCCCGUCAAGCCAUGGAAGUUAGUAGUACCUGAAGUCCGUAACCGAAAGGAGCGGCCUAGGGUAAGACUAAUGACUGGGGCUA
rnacentral:rRNA from 1 species